rnacentral:lncRNA from 1 species
AAACCGGUCAUCUCGUCUAAUCCUCACCAAAGCUCCACGGGCACCCAUUUCACAGAUGAGGAAACCAAGGCUCAGAAAGACGAAGGCUGCAGCCAGCAAGUGGCUGAGCCCAGGCUCAACCCCGGGUCUGUCUGCUCCCAGAGCCCGCGUUUCAUGACCCCACCACGCACCUCUCCAUUUCCUUCUUGAAAUAUCUCGGCGUGUUGUGAAGGGGAUGCUGAUUUGGUUGUAGAAGGAGAUCAUGUCAGUCCAGGGCCGCGUCUGAGGCCUCAGCUCUCGGCCCAGGGAAGAGGCCGUUGCGGCGGAAGCGGUCAGCCUGGAGGAAAGAUGUUGUCUUUGAUCCUUGAGCCAGCUCUGCCCCUGUCCGGUGCACACCCUGACCGUCGCUGGGCCUCAGUUUCCCCCUCUGUAUUUCCGGGCUGUCCAGAGGACAGCAAUGAGGAGCCCAGCCUGCCAGCCUUCAGCGUUCCCCAAGACCCAAGAGGGACUCCCGGAGACUUCCCCCGUCUCCAAGGCACGGGCUGACUCACAUCGCUGUCUGGGGAGGAAGCACAGCCCGGCUGGCGAGGGUCUCGCCACCCAGCAACCUGCCACGGCUCCGGGGGACGGGGGAGUUGAACAUUAACCCCUUGGCGCAGGAGACCGAGGCUGCUGCAUCAGGAAGGGGUGGAGACAGAAUCUGCUCCCGAGGUGCCUGACCAGAGGCCUCGCCAUAAUCCCAAUGAUUCCCCGUCUCCCUCCCAUCCCUACCCAGUCUCCUCAGCGCCGCAGGCUGGCCCCACCUAUCCCCUUUUAAACCUUCUGGAUUGAC